UCUCUCAACAUUUCACGACGAUAUUAUAUUACGACCAGAUAAGUACGUAUAUAGAAGAGACGAUCUAACUCACGUUGACCUCUUACUCGUAACCUAGUAGGACUGCACGACCGAUUGCUAAGCUAACCUAUAUACGGACAUGCUAUAUAAUAUAUCCAUGACGGACACGUAUGUCCACUGGUCCGAAACAUCGAUGAUGGUGAAGUCGGAGCUGGCCAGAGGGUCACAUAUCCAGCACAAGGAUUUUCAACGACAGCCUGGCCUGGCUAGGUCAUCGAAGAAGAGGGUGUUGGUUUAUUGCAGCAAGUUCGGCAGCAAUCUUGGACCUGACGUUCAACGUCACGGGUGAUAUUUUUUAUUUGUUUUCGUUAGAGACUCAUCGUAUUCGGUUUUGGACAGCAAGGCAGUGCCCUUUCCUUGGUGUAGGAAUAACGUUAUCUCUGUAUGCUCCCCAUUCCGUUGGUGUGCUUAUCGUCGACGGAGGAAGUGUGGAGUCGUGUCUCCGGCGGGCCGUCCUGAUCCAUUGGUUUACAUUUUCGGUGGAUUCGUCUAGAUUCGACCGGUGUUUGUGGUCUUGCAGUUUCGACAUGCCUUUACCGACGUUUUCUUCACCGGGGCGCCGAUUUGCGUCGCAGAUGAUAGAGAUCAGUGCCUUGUGGUGUGCAUAGUGAACUUCUCGGCCAAUGAUUUUAUUAUGUGUUUUACAACCAAGGCUUAACUAGUCCACGCAUUUGUUUCCUAUUACGGGCAAUCAUGUGUUCCCCAAAUCUGGAAAGCCUUUCUUUGUACUACAAAUUUCUUUUAAGUCCUUCAGAGCAUCUCGAGUCACGCUUGUCAAUUUUGGGCUACAAUUUGUCCACAGGCAGCAGGGUUCAACCCAACUUAUCUGCCCCUUCAACAACAACACCCAUUUAUUCGUCCCCAAAUCAAAGAAAAACUCAUGCAACAACUUAGAUCAUACAUAUACUUCACAAUUUUGAUCAUACUAUAAAGUUCAUACCUACCAGGACAAAUCAACAUUGUAGUUCAUACAUUCAACUAGGGCGUGAGAAGGACAUACUAGACUACAUAGUUCGUUAAACUAGGAUUGUCAUAUAGGACAUUGCAAGAUCAAUAAGGACAUAGCCGGUGUUGACACUUCCUUAGCAUCAACGCAUUGUGACAGACGUCAAAAAUUGCGUAGGGGUCAUCAGUGGUAGGUGGCGCUAGACAUGGGGUCCUCCAAGUCAUGUAUGUCCGUGUGGGCACGCACACAUGCUUUAUCAUUGGCGUUCUUCUCGGUAUUACAGUGCAAUUGCUCGAAGCCAUCCCAGGGAAUUUGCAUUGAUCCGUCUUGCGGCACAUGUGUGACUCCUUCAGCGCAUGAGGUCAUCGUAAUCCAAUGGCACCGACACCGGAGUGGAUCUGAUGCUGGAGGAGGAUGGUCAGCACACCUUCUCCAUCUCACGCCGAGAUCGCCGAACCUCGGACUACGGUUGAGCAUUGUUGCCGCCACUAUUGCAUUCACCACGAACCGGUGGUAAUGAAGGCCAGCGGACACGUAGCAUUCCCGACGACGGCCACCACAGACAUAUUUCUUAACGGGGUGAAUUAGAAGCACGACAUAUGUUCACUUUGUUAUGAGUUGAGUUCAUUUUCACCAAAUUAAGUAUGUUCAUAAUAGUUAGUUAAUCUGUAUGGAUAAAUAUCAUCUGUUCCAAGAAUGCUAUUCAUGCAAACUAUAUAUUAAAACUCGGAAUGGUCGAAUAUUACUACUUAACUUAUCGUCACGCGACAAGUAAUGAUAAAAGGCAAUCUGCUCUUUAGAUGUUUCCAUCUGAAGAUUUUGUGGUGCUAUACCAGCUUGAUCUCAGUUGCCACACAAACAAAGACCAUGUUCUAGUCCACCCAUAUAUAGUGUUCAACUUGUUCAGUGUGUGUGAUACUACUACCUUAACUAACACGUGUCGAUGGUGGUGAUCAGAAUUCAGAAAGCGGAUCCUGAGGAUAUGUCCAUGCAUGAACGAACGGCGUUCCUUUUUUGCAGAAAAACUGAAGUUGUUGUAACAACCUAUGAGAUCCCAAUGACCAGUUAAUCGCUCUCUCACUAUGCUAUAUGUAAACUCGCAUGGGACAAGCAAAUUUUACUCCAAGCAAGCUGUGCGUCAAAGGCAGAACAGUGAAUGAAUCACAUUCACGUGUCAAGGAUGUAUCCAGCGAACUACAUUCAUGCUAAUAACAAAGACGACCAACCAUCCACCAAAAAGAUUUGGAAAUAACUACCCAUGUUCAUGAUGACAACCUGAGUGAUAUAAAAGUUGAUGUAAUAGUGUAAACAAAUGAUCUAUGAGGCUUAUCAGCUCUAGUACCUCUUGAGAAUGAAGAUCGGCCGACAGGUCACAAAUAGUCCCAUAUAUAGAGGUCGCACGACAACCACAUCAUUCACGUAUACAGGGAACAAAGGAUAACCACAACCAGUGAGGAGCAUGGGAUUGGGAGGUAUCGGGAACUAAAUUCAAUCUAUCCUUUUUCACUAUCCUACAGUAGUGUGUUAGUGUGGAUUAAGAUGGCACGGAUUAUGAGGUCUCUAUUUGCUUCGUGGAGAAUAUGCUCGGAUCAGGUUGUCGCCUAACCAGGCGUCAACUUCUUUCCACCUACACCAUCGUACCCAUGUGCCUGCCAAUCGCUUGCUUGCAAUAUUGGAGGUUCGGUGAUACUGCACCAAUUGCGCUGACGCAAUUUAUUUGAUUUCCAAACAUGAGACGCUAAUCAAAUUUCUAUUACAUGAAGGAACUAAUAAAGCCUUGUACUCAAUUAUGUCAACAUAUUUUGGUCCCAAAUAAUGUUGGAAAUAUGAGCAAUUUACCAUAGGAUUUUAUUAAAAGAAAAGUUAGGGAAAACAUGACUAUCAUAAAAAAGAUGAAACAAUACAUGGAAUAUAAAGAUGAGACGACGAAAGACAUGUGCACAUAUGAUCUAGAAGAGAACAUAUGUAGAGCCGUACUAUAUACACAAGGCAUCAUAUGGAGUGAUGAGCAGAAA
rnacentral:lncRNA from 1 species